rnacentral:rRNA from 1 species
UACGUAGGGUCCGAGCGUUGUCCGGAAUUAUUGGGCGUAAAGGGCUCGUAGGCGGUCUGUUGCGUCGGGAGUGAAAACUUACAGCUUAACUGUGAGCGUGCUUCCGAUACGGGCAGACUUGAGGUAUUCAGGGGAGAACGGAAUUCCUGGUGUAGCGGUGAAAUGCGCAGAUAUCAGGAGGAACACCGGUGGCGAAGGCGGCAUCCUGGACCGGUAUUGACGCUGAUGAGCGAAAGCCAGGGGAGCAAACGGG